AUACUGAAUUUGAUGGUGUAGCUGAAGUUGAUGGUUUAGGCCUUCGAAUAAUAAAGCUGUCGAAAGAACCUUGCGCAGCUGCUUUCUGUUCUCAUUAUGCAUCUUUAUGUAGAGUUCAUAUGCAUUUUUUAAGUCCCUGUUAAUAUUAAUGCUUCAUUCUGUUAAUGGAUCCACUUCAGAAAAUAUGUUCAUUGUUUGCUCCAUAUAAUAUCCACAGACCUCUCACCUUUUUCAUAAGAGUCCCCGGCCCUGACAUAGUGCAUCCCAGAGUGCGAAGAGAGUUGUACAACGAGCUUGCCGAGCCUCCGAAGAUCCCGUUCUGUAAAGACCUGGAUGAACAAUAGGGCGAUCGUCACUCGAAAAACUAGACCGGAUGUCAAAGUGGUAGUUGGAGGCUUUGCAGCAGUGGUUAUAUUAGCAUAUUGUCUGCUGUUUUUGUGGCUGUAUGACCAAAAGGAUGCUAAGUAAAUUAUGAAUUUGUCUACAGAGAAAGGGCACAAGAAAAUAACUGGAUGUUUUUAUACAUGAGGUGUGGGAUUUUUUUUUUUUUGUGGAUUAUAUACAGGUUGGACCCCGCUAAUCCGGGACCCAAUAGGCUGGCAGCUUUGAUGGUUCGGGAUGCAUUUAGUGAAUACUUAAUUUUAUGGGGAAAAUUGGGAUAUGUUCCACAACUACUAAAAUUGAACAGUAAUGCUAUAAAAGUUGUGGAAAAAUCAAUACAAUUACCACAACCUGUACUCAAAUGUACUAAGUUAAUUACUAAAAUUUUUAUGUCUAGUGCAAAAUAUGGGAUGCUUAUAUUCAAAUUAAUCUCUGCCUUGCAAGAAUAUCAGCAAUGCAAGUUAUAUUCUGCUAAGUCAAGUCAGUGGCAUUUUAUAAGUGAAAAACUUAAACUCCCUGCCUUUUAUAAUCCUGAGUCCUUGACACCUCUCCCUUCCACUGAUACUUAUACACCCAGUAAACUCCCCUUCUGACUGUCAACACCUCAUCUCUCCCUUCCACUGAUACUUAUACACCCAGUCAACUCCCCUUCUGACUGUCAACACCUCAUCUCUCCCUUCCCUCUCCACCAGAAUGCAAUAGGGAUUUUAGAAGGUGAAGGUGGUUUUAGGCUUUAAGUUUUUCUUUUAUAAAAUGUCACAGACUUGAUUUAGCAGAAUAUAACUUGCAUUGUUGGAAUCCUUGCAAUAUGGCAAUUAAUUUCAGUAUAAACAUCUAGUAGUUUGUACAAGAGAUAAAUUUUUUAGUCCUUUAGCCUAGUACAUUUGAGUACAAAGUGAGUUCAGUAAUAUGUUGCUUAAAAUUAUUGCUCUUUCACAGGGAAAAUUCUGUAUAACUAGUCCCAGUGGUCAGGAUUUUAUGGCAUUGAAUGUUAAAGAGUAUUUCAAAUAAAUUCGUUGUUUAGUCCAGUGUACAGUAAACUUGUGCCAUAGCACUAACACUGUGUCAUAAAGAGGUCCAGUAAGCCUAGGCUAGAUUAGUGAUGAUGCAAGUUGUAUUGGUACCAGUAAUAGUACAUUUUAUGCAUUA